rnacentral:lncRNA from 1 species
UUUUUUUUUUUUUUUUCUUUUUUUCAGAGCUGGGGACCGAACCCAGGGCCUUGCGCUUGCUAGGCCAGCGCUCUACCACUGAGCUAAAUCCCCAACCCCUAGGGUUUCUCUUUGACUCAAGUGUCAGAAGCCUAGUGAGCAAGUCAUUAAAUCCGAAUGUCAGAGAGGAGUCAAAACGUUUUUAACUAUUUUUAAUUUAAAAGGUAUAAUUAUUUACUUUUUCUAAAUUAAGGAAAUGUUUUGCAGGGCCACAGAUAGACUCCGGUUUUAUCUGAACCCUUGGAAUCAUUUGGUUUUAGUCAUUUUUUGUUUCCUUUUUUGUUCCCAAGUGUGAGUUAGGGCUGCACAUUGCUCAUGCUUUUCAGAGGAAACUUGUGCGUGCAUGUGCGUGUGUGUGUGUGUGUGUGUGUGUGUGUCUGUGUGUGUGUGUGUGUGUGUGUGUUUUCCAUUCUGUUUUCCUUGGAGCAGGCAGGGCCUUACACUGUAACCCAGACUGGCCCUGGACCUCUGCAGCGCUCGUAGCACAGCCUUUUUCAUGCUGGGGUGACAUGUAUGUGUUAUCAUGCUGCUAAAACUGAAGAUUUGGACAUUUAUUUUUACUUACAAUGGGAGUAUAUUUCUAAUGGGGAAAAGACUAUAUAAAAAUGGCUAUAUUUAAUCAUUCCUUAGAGCAGAACUGUUCCUUUUAUGAAGAGAAUAGUAACUUUUUUCAAGGGGAAGUUUUCUCAACAGUUUUGUUGUUUGUUUUUGUGUGUGUUUGGGGACUAAACAUACUGUAGAGUUAUAGACAAAAGUAUAUCUGAUCUUAAGUAAACUAAUAAAAACUGUAUUUUAGAAAUAAGCAAUGCAGGCUUACUGUUUAAUUUUUAAGUAUGUGUGAGAGAGAUCUUAAACUAAUAAAGACUAUUUUAGAAAUAAACAAUGCAGAUCUAUUGUUUAUUAUUUUUAAGUGUGUGAUCUUGAGUAAGUUAAUAAAGACAAUAUUUUGGCAAC